GCCCCGAUGGCGAAAUGGCAGCCGCGCACGGCUCAGCCCCGUGUCCUUCAUCGGGCGGAGGUUCAACUCCUCCUCGGGGCA
rnacentral:tRNA from 1 species